AGAGUUUGAUUCUGGCUCAGAUUGAACGCUGGCGGCAUGCCUUACACAUGCAAGUCGAACGGCAGCACGGGAGCAAUCCUGGUGGCGAGUGGCGAACGGGUGAGUAAUAUAUCGGAACGUGCCCAGUAGUGGGGGAUAACUGCUCGAAAGAGCAGCUAAUACCGCAUACGACCUGAGGGUGAAAGGGGGGGAUCGCAAGACCUCUCGCUAUUGGAGCGGCCGAUAUCAGAUUAGCUAGUUGGUGGGGUAAAGGCCUACCAAGGCAACGAUCUGUAGUUGGUCUGAGAGGACGACCAGCCACACUGGGACUGAGACACGGCCCAGACUCCUACGGGAGGCAGCAGUGGGGAAUUUUGGACAAUGGGCGCAAGCCUGAUCCAGCAAUGCCGCGUGCAGGAAGAAGGCCUUCGGGUUGUAAACUGCUUUUGUCAGGGAAGAAAUCCUCUAGGUUAAUACCCUUGGGGGGAUGACGGUACCUGAAGAAUAAGCACCGGCUAACUACGUGCCAGCAGCCGCGGUAAUACGUAGGGUGCAAGCGUUAAUCGGAAUUACUGGGCGUAAAGCGUGCGCAGGCGGCUUUGCAAGACAGAUGUGAAAUCCCCGGGCUCAACCUG
rnacentral:rRNA from 1 species